rnacentral:lncRNA from 1 species
UUGAGCACGAGGUCACCUUCUCGGAACACACGAGGUUUGACCUUCUUAAUGAAUGCUUUCUUCAUUCUCUGCUGAUAUAACUGACCAUGACACAUGGCAGUCAAUCGCUUUUCUUCAAUCAAAUUCAGUUGGUCAUAACGACUCUGAAUCCAUUCAGCACCAGUCAACUUGGGAUUUGAGGGUAUCAUUUCUCUUUUAUUCUUCCUUUUUUUUUUUGAUUUUAUUCUUUUAUUUUUUUCACCCCCUCUUCUUUUUUUUCUUUUUUUUUUACAUUACAUUUGUAAUGCCCCAGUUUAACUGUUCUGCUGAUUCUCAAGAUACAGCUGAAUGAUCUUCUUUUCAUACUCAAGAAGGCGGGUA